rnacentral:rRNA from 1 species
GACGAACGCUGGCGGCGUGCUUAACACAUGCAAGUCGAACGAAGAGCGAUGGAAGCUUGCUUCUAUCAAUCUUAGUGGCGCACGGGUGAGUAACGCGUAAUCAACCUGCCCUUCAGAGGGGGACAACAGUUGGAAACGACUGCUAAUGCCGCAUACGAUCUGACCUCGGCAUCGAGGAUAGAUGAAAGGUGGCCUCUAUUUAUAAGCUAUCACUGAAGGAGGGGAUUGCGUCUGAUUAGCUAGUUGGAGGGGUAACGGCCCACCAAGGCGAUGAUCAGUAGCCGGUCUGAGAGGAUGAACGGCCACAUUGGGACUGAGACACGGCCCAGACUCCUACGGGAGGCAGCAGUGGGGAAUCUUCCGCAAUGGACGAAAGUCUGACGGAGCAACGCCGCGUGAGUGAGGACGGCCUUCGGGUUGUAAAGCUCUGUUAAUCGGGACGAAAGGCCUUCUUGCGAAUAGUUAGAAGGAUUGACGGUACCGGAAGAGAAAGCCACGGCUAACUACGUG